rnacentral:rRNA from 1 species
UUAAGCGACUAAGCGUACACGGUGGAUGCCCUGGCAGUCAGAGGCGAUGAAGGACGUGCUAAUCUGCGAUAAGCGUCGGUAAGGUGAUAUGAACCGUUAUAACCGGCGAUUUCCGAAUGGGGAAACCCAGUGUGAUUCGUCACACUAUCAUUAACUGAAUCCAUAGGUUAAUGAGGCGAACCGGGGGAACUGAAACAUCUAAGUACCCCGAGGAAAAGAAAUCAACCGAGAUUCCCCCAGUAGCGGCGAGCGAACGGGGAGCAGCCCAGAGCCUGAAUCAGUGUGUGUGUUAGUGGAAGCGUCUGGAAAGGCGUGCGAUACAGGGUGACAGCCCCGUACACAAAAAUGCACAUGCUGUGAGCUCGAUGAGUAGGGCGGGACACGUGGUAUCCUGUCUGAAUAUGGGGGGACCAUCCUCCAAGGCUAAAUACUCCUGACUGACCGAUAGUGAACCAGUACCGUGAGGGAAAGGCGAAAAGAACCCCGGCGAGGGGAGUGAAAAAGAACCUGAAACCGUGUACGUACAAGCAGUGGGAGCACAGAGCAAUCUGUGUGACUGCGUACCUUUUGUAUAAUGGGUCAGCGACUUAUAUUCUGUAGCAAGGUUAACCGAAUAGGGGAGCCGAAGGGAAACCGAGUCUUAACUGGGCGUUAAGUUGCAGGGUAUAGACCCGAAACCCGGUGAUCUAGCCAUGGGCAGGUUGAAGGUUGGGUAACACUAACUGGAGGACCGAACCGACUAAUGUUGAAAAAUUAGCGGAUGACUUGUGGCUGGGGGUGAAAGGCCAAUCAAACCGGGAGAUAGCUGGUUCUCCCCGAAAGCUAUUUAGGUAGCGCCUCGUGAAUUCAUCUCCGGGGGUAGAGCACUGUUUCGGCAAGGGGGUCAUCCCGACUUACCAACCCGAUGCAAACUGCGAAUACCGGAGAAUGUUAUCACGGGAGACACACGGCGGGUGCUAACGUCCGUCGUGAAGAGGGAAACAACCCAGACCGCCAGCUAAGGUCCCAAAGUCAUGGUUAAGUGGGAAACGAUGUGGGAAGGCCCAGACAGCCAGGAUGUUGGCUUAGAAGCAGCCAUCAUUUAAAGAAAGCGUAAUAGCUCACUGGUCGAGUCGGCCUGCGCGGAAGAUGUAACGGGGCUAAACCAUGCACCGAAGCUGCGGCAGCGACGCUUAUGCGUUGUUGGGUAGGGGAGCGUUCUGUAAGCCUGCGAAGGUGUGCUGUGAGGCAUGCUGGAGGUAUCAGAAGUGCGAAUGCUGACAUAAGUAACGAUAAAGCGGGUGAAAAGCCCGCUCGCCGGAAGACCAAGGGUUCCUGUCCAACGUUAAUCGGGGCAGGGUGAGUCGACCCCUAAGGCGAGGCCGAAAGGCGUAGUCGAUGGGAAACAGGUUAAUAUUCCUGUACUUGGUGUUACUGCGAAGGGGGGACGGAGAAGGCUAUGUUGGCCGGGCGACGGUUGUCCCGGUUUAAGCGUGUAGGCUGGUUUUCCAGGCAAAUCCGGAAAACUAAGGCUGAGGCGUGAUGACGAGGCACUACGGUGCUGAAGCAACAAAUGCCCUGCUUCCAGGAAAAGCCUCUAAGCAUCAGGUAACAUCAAAUCGUACCCCAAACCGACACAGGUGGUCAGGUAGAGAAUACCAAGGCGCUUGAGAGAACUCGGGUGAAGGAACUAGGCAAAAUGGUGCCGUAACUUCGGGAGAAGGCACGCUGAUAUGUAGGUGAAGUCCCUCGCGGAUGGAGCUGAAAUCAGUCGAAGAUACCAGCUGGCUGCAACUGUUUAUUAAAAACACAGCACUGUGCAAACACGAAAGUGGACGUAUACGGUGUGACGCCUGCCCGGUGCCGGAAGGUUAAUUGAUGGGGUUAGCGCAAGCGAAGCUCUUGAUCGAAGCCCCGGUAAACGGCGGCCGUAACUAUAACGGUCCUAAGGUAGCGAAAUUCCUUGUCGGGUAAGUUCCGACCUGCACGAAUGGCGUAAUGAUGGCCAGGCUGUCUCCACCCGAGACUCAGUGAAAUUGAACUCGCUGUGAAGAUGCAGUGUACCCGCGGCAAGACGGAAAGACCCCGUGAACCUUUACUAUAGCUUGACACUGAACAUUGAGCCUUGAUGUGUAGGAUAGGUGGGAGGCUUGGAAGUGUGGACGCCAGUCUGCAUGGAGCCGACCUUGAAAUACCACCCUUUAAUGUUUGAUGUUCUAACGUUGACCCGUGAUCCGGGUUGCGGACAGUGUCUGGUGGGUAGUUUGACUGGGGCGGUCUCCUCCUAAAGAGUAACGGAGGAGCACGAAGGUUGGCUAAUCCUGGUCGGACAUCAGGAGGUUAGUGCAAUGGCAUAAGCCAGCUUGACUGCGAGCGUGACGGCGCGAGCAGGUGCGAAAGCAGGUCAUAGUGAUCCGGUGGUUCUGAAUGGAAGGGCCAUCGCUCAACGGAUAAAAGGUACUCCGGGGAUAACAGGCUGAUACCGCCCAAGAGUUCAUAUCGACGGCGGUGUUUGGCACCUCGAUGUCGGCUCAUCACAUCCUGGGGCUGAAGUAGGUCCCAAGGGUAUGGCUGUUCGCCAUUUAAAGUGGUACGCGAGCUGGGUUUAGAACGUCGUGAGACAGUUCGGUCCCUAUCUGCCGUGGGCGCUGGAGAACUGAGGGGGGCUGCUCCUAGUACGAGAGGACCGGAGUGGACGCAUCACUGGUGUUCGGGUUGUCAUGCCAAUGGCACUGCCCGGUAGCUAAAUGCGGAAGAGAUAAGUGCUGAAAGCAUCUAAGCACGAAACUUGCCCCGAGAUGAGUUCUCCCUGACUCCUUGAGAGUCCUGAAGGAACGUUGAAGACGACGACGUUGAUAGGCCGGGUGUGUAAGCGCAGCGAUGCGUUGAGCUAACCGGUACUAAUGAACCGUGAGGCUUAACCU